rnacentral:lncRNA from 1 species
AUCUAAGGCAUACGCAAUGGUAACCAGGCAGAAGUAUUUCAGAUCCUCCAAGUGAGACGAUCUAAAGCCUGCGGAAGAUGCCUAUUUCUUUUUUUUUAAUGGAGCAGUCUCUCUCCGUGCCUUCGAGGGUUUUGAACGACGGGAAUAAUAAGAAUAUUUCCUCGAGCAUCGAUGCAGCAAGGAGUUCAUCGAUUUCAGUAAAAAAGUAUGAGUUCAGUUCUUCGUUAAGCUGGAGUUCUUCUUCGUCUUUGGCCUAGCUUCUCAUCUCAGGGCGUGGGCGGGUUGGUUGGCUUACAGGGUCGAUGCUUUCAACGAUUAGAUAGGGGGCUCGCGCAUCUACCCAUGAUUCAAAGCAGCCUUUUCCAGACCGUGAUAGACCAAAACAAAAGGCAUUCGAUUGGAUGCGUGAAAACCGCCUAACAUGGAAAUGGCAAAAGGAACAAAACGCACUUUCUCGACCAGUGGAUGAACGAGGCCACCCCCUUUCAUACUGUUGAUAGGGCCAUGGCUUUCCAAACCUCGCUAUUUCAACCCUUAUCUAUAACAUAGAACAAAGCCGCAAAAGCCCUUUGAUAACUGUCCUUCCGAUCUCAAACUUAGACAUAGGCAAGCUAUAAAACUUUGUUUUCCUAACCUGGAUACUCUUUCCGGCUUCUCAAACCUCCAUUUCUCAAUCUCAUUCAAUCAACUUCAUUCUGAAACUUUUCUUUUUAUCUCACGAUACAUUAGACUUUAUUGAGCUGAUAAAGGGCAAAGGCAGGAAGUUUGAUUUCUCCAGGCAAGUUUGUUUUCAAUCCAAUGUAGCUGGCANNN